rnacentral:tRNA from 1 species
CUAUAGCUCAAUUGGUAGAGCAACUGAUUUGUAAUCAGUAGGUUGGGAGUUCGAGUCUCUCUGGGG